CAGGGCGAAUGUCUUGUAAUUGGAAUGAUGGUGACCCAAACCCUCACCAGAGUAGCAAUUGGAGGGCAAGUCUGGUGCCAGCAGCCGCGGUAAUUCCAGCUCCAAUAGCGUAUAUUAAACUUGUUGCAGUUAAAAAGCUCGUAGUUGUAUUUUUGCGUUGACGGUUUGACCAUUUGGUUGGUUAUUUCGUUUUCGCUUUUGGGAAUUUCCCUUUUUACUUUGAGAAAAUUAGAGUGUUUCAAGCAGACUUUUGUCUUGAAUACUUCAGCAUGGAAUAAUAGAGUAGGACUUUGGUUCUAUUUUGUUGGUUAUUGAACCUUAGUAAUGGUUAAUAGGGACGGUUGGGGGCAUUCGUAUUUAACUGUCAGAGGUGAAAUUCUUAGAUUUGUUAAAGACGAACUACUGCGAAAGCAUUUGCCAAGGACGUUUCCAUUAAUCAAGAACGAAAGUUAGGGGAUCGAAGA
rnacentral:rRNA from 1 species